UACGUAGGGGGCUAGCGUUGUCCGGAAUCAUUGGGCGUAAAGCGCGUGUAGGCGGUCCGGUAAGUCCGCUGUGAAAGUCGGGGGCUCAACCCUCGGAUGCCGGUGGAUACUGUCGGGCUUGAGUACGGAAGAGGCGAGUGGAAUUCCUGGUGUAGCGGUGAAAUGCGCAGAUAUCAGGAGGAACACCAAUUGCGAAGGCAACUCGCUGGGACGUUACUGACGCUGAGACGCGAAAGCGUGGGGAGCAAACAGG
rnacentral:rRNA from 1 species